rnacentral:rRNA from 1 species
AUUGAACGCUGGCGGCAGGCCUAACACAUGCCAGUCGAGCGGAUGAAGGGAGCUUGCUCCUGGAUUCAGCGGCGGACGGGUGAGUAAUGCCUAGGAAUCUGCCUGGUAGUGGGGGAUAACGUCCGGAAACGGGCGCUAAUACCGCAUACGGCCUGAGGGAGAAAGUGGGGGAUCUUCGGACCUCACGCUAUCAGAUGAGCCUAGGUCGGAUUAGCUAGUUGGUGGGGUAAAGGCCUACCUAGGCGACGAUCCGUAACUGGUCUGAGAGGAUGAUCAGUCACACUGGAACUUGGACACGGCCCAGGCUCCUACGGGAGGCAGCAGUGGGGAAUAUUGGACAAUGGGCGAAAGCCUGAUCCAGCCAUGCCGCGUGUGUGAAGAAGGUCUUCGGAUUGUAAAGCACUUUAUGUUGGGAGGAAGGGCAGUAAGUUAUUACCUUGCUGUUUUGACGGUACCAACAGAAUAAGCACCGGCUAACUUCGUG